GACGUACCGUGCGAACGUUAUUCGGAAUCACUGGGCUUAAAGGGCGCGUAGGCGGUCUAUCAAGUCUUGGGUGAAAUCCCACGGCCCAACCGUGGAACUGCCUUAGAUACUGACGGCCUCGAGGGAGAUAGGGGCAUGCGGAACUGUAGGUGGAGCGGUGAAAUGCGUUGAUAUCUACAGGAACUCCGGUGGCGAAAGCGGCGUGCUGGAUCUCUUCUGACGCUGAGGCUCGAAAGCUAGGGGAGCAAACGGG
rnacentral:rRNA from 1 species